GUCACCAGGGAUCUUGCUAAAAUGCAGAUUCUGAUUCAGUGGGGCUGGUUGGGUCCUGAGGGCUCUGUAUUUCUAGCAAGCUCCCAGGUGAUGCUGA
rnacentral:pre_miRNA from 1 species